UACAGAGGGGGCAAGCGUUAUUCGGGAUUAUUGGGCGUAAAGGGCGCGUAGGCGGCCGGACAAGUGGAAGGUGAAAUCCCCGAGCUCAACUCGGGAACUGCCCUCCAAACUGUUUGGCUUGAGUCCGGGAGAGGUGAGUGGAAUUCCCAGUGUAGCGGUGAAAUGCGUAGAUAUUGGGAGGAACACCAGUGGCGAAGGCGGCUCACUGGACCGGAACUGACGCUGAGGCGCGAAAGCGUGGGGAGCAAACAGG
rnacentral:rRNA from 1 species